rnacentral:rRNA from 1 species
GACGAACGCUGGCGGCGUGCCUAAUACAUGCAAGUCGAGCGAAUCUUUGGGAGCUUGCUCCUAAAGGUUAGCGGCGGACGGGUGAGUAACACGUGGGCAACCUGCCUAUAAGACUGGGAUAACUUCGGGAAACCGGAGCUAAUACCGGAUAAUUCUUUUCUACACAUGUAGAAAAGCUAAAAGACGGUUUACGCUGUCACUUAUAGAUGGGCCCGCGGCGCAUUAGCUAGUUGGUGAGGUAACGGCUCACCAAGGCCACGAUGCGUAGCCGACCUGAGAGGGUGAUCGGCCACACUGGGACUGAGACACGGCCCAGACUCCUACGGGUGGCAG